rnacentral:rRNA from 1 species
UGGGGAAUCUUCCGCAAUGGACGAAAGUCUGACGGAGCAACGCCGCGUGAGUGAAGACGGCCUUCGGGUUGUAAAGCUCUGUUAUUCGGUAAGAACGAUUCGUUUGUGAACAAUGAACGGAAGUGACGGUACCGAAAGAGAAAGCCACGGCUAACUACGUGCCAGCAGCCGCGGUAAUACGUAGGUGGCAAGCGUUGUCCGGAAUUAUUGGGCGUAAAGAGCGCGUAGGCGGUAUGGUAAGUCUGUCUUAGAAGUGCGGGGCUUAACCCCGUGAGGGGACAGAGACUGUCAUACUGGAGUCUCGGAGAGGAAAGCGGAAUUCCUAGUGUAGCGGUGAAAUGCGUAGAGAUUAGGAAGAACACCGGUGGCGAAGGCGGCUUUCUGGACGAGCACUGACGCUGAGGCGCGAAAGCGUGGGGAGCGAACAGG